rnacentral:rRNA from 1 species
AACGAACGCUGGCGGCAGGCCUAACACAUGCAAGUCGAGCGAGACCUUCGGGUCUAGCGGCGGACGGGUGAGUAACGCGUGGGAACGUGCCCUUUGGUUCGGAAUAGCCCCGGGAAACUGGGAGUAAUACCGGAUAAGCCCUACGGGGGAAAGAUUUAUCGCCAAAGGAUCGGCCCGCGUUGGAUUAGGUAGUUGGUGGGGUAAUGGCCUACCAAGCCGACGAUCCAUAGCUGGUUUGAGAGGAUGAUCAGCCACACUGGGACUGAGACACGGCCCAGACUCCUACGGGAGGCAGCAGUGGGGAAUCUUAGACAAUGGGGGAAACCCUGAUCUAGCCAUGCCGCGUGAGCGAUGAAGGCCUUAGGGUUGUAAAGCUCUUUCGCACACGACGAUGAUGACGGUAGUGUGAGAAGAAGCCCCGGCUAACUUCGUGCCAGCCGCCGCAGUAACAC